CAUUCGCGGGGCGUAGCCUGACCGCAAUGCCGCGUGCAGGAAGAAGGCCUUCGGGUUGUAAACUGCUUUUGUACGGAACGAAACGGCCUUUUCUAGUAAAGAGGGCUAAUGACGGUACCGUAAGAAUAAGCACCGGCUAACUACGUGCCAGCAGCCGCGGUAAUACGUAGGGUGCGAGCGUUAAUCGGAAUUACUGGGCGUAAAGCGUGCGCAGGCGGUUCUAUAAGACAGAUGUGAAAUCCCCGGGCUCAACCUGGGAAUGGCAUUUGUGACUGUAGAGCUAGAGUACGGUAGAGGGGGAUGGAAUUCCGCGUGUAGCAGUGAAGGGGGGAGAUAUGCGGAGGAACACCGAUGGCGAAGGCAAUCCCAUGGACCUGUACUGACGCUCAUGCACGAAAG
rnacentral:rRNA from 1 species